rnacentral:rRNA from 1 species
UACGUAGGGGGCUAACGUUGUCCGGAAUUAUUGGGCGUAAAGCGCACGUAGGCGGCCAACUAAGUCGGAUGUGAAAUCCCCAGGCUUAACCUGGGAACUGCAUCCGAUACUGGAUGGCUUGAAUCCGGGAGAGGGAUGCAGAAUUCCAGGUGUAGCGGUGAAAUGCGUAGAUAUCUGGAGGAAUACCGGUGGCGAAGGCGGCAUCCUGGACCGGCAUUGACGCUGAUGAGCGAAAGCUAGGGGAGCAAACGGG